AAAUUGAAGAGUUUGAUCAUGGCUCAGAUUGAACGCUGGCGGCAGGCCUAACACAUGCAAGUCGAACGGUAACAGGAAGCAGCUUGCUGCUUCGCUGACGAGUGGCGGACGGGUGAGUAAUGUCUGGGAAACUGCCUGAUGGAGGGGGAUAACUACUGGAAACGGUAGCUAAUACCGCAUAAUGUCGCAAGACCAAAGAGGGGGACCUUCGGGCCUCUUGCCAUCGGAUGUGCCCAGAUGGGAUUAGCUAGUAGGUGGGGUAACGGCUCACCUAGGCGACGAUCCCUAGCUGGUCUGAGAGGAUGACCAGCCACACUGGAACUGAGACACGGUCCAGACUCCUACGGGAGGCAGCAGUGGGGAAUAUUGCACAAUGGGCGCAAGCCUGAUGCAGCCAUGCCGCGUGUAUGAAGAAGGCCUUCGGGUUGUAAAGUACUUUCAGCGGGGAGGAAGGCGAUAAGGUUAAUAACCUUGUCGAUUGACGUUACCCGCAGAAGAAGCACCGGCUAACUCCGUGCCAGCAGCCGCGUAAUACGGAGGGUGCAAGCGUUAAUCGGAAUUACUGGGCGUAAAGCGCACGCAGGCGGUCUGUCAAGUCGGAUGUGAAUCCCCGGCUCAACCUGGGAACUGCAUUCGAAACUGGCAGGCUAGAGUCUUGUAGAGGGGGGUAGAAUUCCAGGUGUGCGGUGAAAUGCUUAGAGAUCUGGGGAUACCGUGGCGAAGGCGGCCCCCUGGACAAACUGACGCUCAGUGCGAAAGCGUGGGGAGCACAGGAUUAGAUACCCUGGUAGUCCACGCCGUAAACGAUGUCGACUUGGAGGUUGUGCCCUUGAGGCGUGGCUUCCGGAGCUAACGCGUUAAGUCGACCGCCUGGGAGUACGGCCGCAAGGUUAAACUCAAAUGAAUUGACGGGGGCCCGCACAAGCGGUGGAGCAUGUGGUUUAAUUCGAUGCAACGCGAAGAACCUUACCUACUCUUGACAUCCAGAGAACUUUCCAGAGAUGGAUUGGUGCCUUCGGGAACUCUGAGACAGGUGCUGCAUGGCUGUCGUCAGCUCGUGUUGUGAAAUGUUGGGUUAAGUCCCGCAACGAGCGCAACCCUUAUCCUUUGUUGCCAGCGGUUAGGCCGGGAACUCAAAGGAGACUGCCAGUGAUAAACUGGAGGAAGGUGGGGAUGACGUCAAGUCAUCAUGGCCCUUACGAGUAGGGCUACACACGUGCUACAAUGGCGCAUACAAAGAGAAGCGACCUCGCGAGAGCAAGCGGACCUCAUAAAGUGCGUCGUAGUCCGGAUUGGAGUCUGCAACUCGACUCCAUGAAGUCGGAAUCGCUAGUAAUCGUGGAUCAGAAUGCCACGGUGAAUACGUUCCCGGGCCUUGUACACACCGCCCGUCACACCAUGGGAGUGGGUUGCAAAAGAAGUAGGUAGCUUAACCUUCGGGAGGGCGCUUACCACUUUGUGAUUCAUGACUGGGGUGAAGUCGUAACAAGGUAACCGUAGGGGAACCUGCGGUUGGAUCACCUCCUUACCUUAAAGAA
rnacentral:rRNA from 1 species